GUAAUAUAAUCUGCCCUUAUCUGGAGGGAUAGCCCGGGAGAAAUUCGGAUUAAUACUCCAUAACAUUAUGAUGUGGCAUCACAUUAUAAUUAAAGCUCAGGCGGAUAAGGAUGAAUAUGCGACUGAUUAGUUUGUUGGUGAGGUAACGGCUCACCAAGACUACGAUCAGUAGGGGUACUGAGAGGUUAAACCCCCACACUGGUACUGAGACACGGACCAG
rnacentral:rRNA from 1 species